GCUUGAGUUGUGACUGAGACAGUAGAUGCCUGUCCUGUUAGUUCCGUGAGUGUAUGGGUAAUACAAUCGAGACGGCGAAAAAGAUCUUGCUGAGCCGCGGACAUUUGAGCGAGAGCGUCCGCUUGGCGGCUCAGAAGAUUACCUUGGAGGGUAACGUCGUGGCGAAGUCCUUCCGAGUCAGCUGGGUCGGGAAUUUGGCCAGUUCGUUCUGUCAUGGUCUCGUGGAAUAUUCAGACCGACCCAAACGCUGGAACCCAGAAGAACACUUGGAGACGUGAGGAUGAACCAGAGAGCGUGACUUCGGCUGAGUCCGAGGAGAAGGAUGAGGAGCGAGAGCAGAGGACGGCGACCCGAGGUUCCCUUGUGAUGAAGACGGUUCCUGAGAGCGGAGCAGAGAGGAACAGUUAGCGAGGCUGAGAUCAGACAAGGUACAAAGCAUGAGCUGGCCAGACAUAAGCACCGUGGGAGUAACAACGAACUGGCACCGAAGAAAGGUCCUGGAUCUCCUUAAGAAGGCGGGGAAGAUGAUGAGGUAAGUGGAACCAGCUGGUCGCAUCCAAGGCAGAGCAGGAAGGGGGGGGAGGAGGCAGGUAGCUGACCGAGACACCAUGUCAGCCCUGUUCUGAUACCAUAUUGGCAAGGAAUUCAAAACAUUAUUAAAGUUAUAACACAGGUCAACUUUCCAUUAAAUUCACUUUACUAUAUAAUAGGCAUCCUUCCAGAAGAAGGCACAAGGAAGAAAAAAGUUAAACUCAUACAAAUUCUUCUACUGGUGGCAAAAAAGAUGAUUAGCAGAUCUUGGCUUAAAACCUCACCCCUGACUCUUGAACAGUGGCUGGAGGCUUUGAGGAAAGUUUACUUGAUGGAGAAAAUAACAGCUAAACUUCAUUUGAGGUCAGAGAUAUUUUAUGACUUAUGUGACUGAACACUUUGGUUGGCCAGAUGGAUAAAUUUUUACAUAGAGUGGUUUUGCAAUGGGACAGUUUUGUUUACCUUUAUGGGCAGCUUUUCCACUCAUAAUCAGUGUACGAUGUAAUAUUUCUUUGUCAAUUAUUGUUUCAUUGUUUAUUUAUUUUUAUGGUAAUGUUUUCUGAGCCCUGGGAAACUAAUUUUGAAAGACUCCUGUUGAUACCUUCAUUUUUGCUGAGAUGCCACUUGUUCUUUGUUCAUUUCGUUAAGCUGUAAAAGUCAAUAAUUGAUCUGCAUACUUGAAUAAAAUGUGU